rnacentral:rRNA from 1 species
GCCUACGGACAUACCACCCUGAACACACCAGAUCUCGUCUGAUCUCAGAAGCUAAGCAGGGUCAGUCCUGGUUAGUACUUGGAUGGCAGAAAUUCCCCUAUCUAAUAGUUU